rnacentral:rRNA from 1 species
CCUACGGGUGGCAGCAGUGAGGAAUAUUGGUCAAUGGCCGCAGGUCUGAACCAGCCAAGUCGCGUGAGGGAUGACGGUCCUAUGGGUUGUAAACCUCUUUUGUCUGGGAAUAAAGUGCGCCACGUGUGGCGCUUUGCGAGUACCUUAAGAAAAAGCAUCGGCUAACUCCGUGCCAGCAGCCGCGGUAAUACGGAGGAUCCGAGCGUUAUCCGGAUUUAUUGGGUUUAAAGGGGGCGAGGGGGGAAUGUAAAGUCAGCGGUAAAAUUUCGGGGGGAAACCCCGUCGUGCCGUUGAAACUGGCGGUCUUGAGUGAGCGAGAGGUAGGCGGAAUGCGUGGUGUAGCGGUGAAAUGCAUAGAUAUCACGAAGAACUCCGAUUGCGAAGGCAGCAUACUGGCGCGCAACUGACGCUCAUGCACGAAAGCGUGGGUAUCGAACAGGAUUAGAUACCCGAGUAGUC